UUCUUCCUUCUCAUCUUCUCUGCCUCUCCUUGAGUUCAUCUACCUGCUGGUUUAUGUCGGUUUCCUCUGUUCAUCUCUAGGUCGCUCCCACAUCUCUCUUUUAUCUCUUACUAUUCCCAGAAUCCUCUCUCUUCCUGUCAGUGUUCCACCUUCUAUUUCCUGCCUCGGUUCAUUGGCCAUCAGCUUUUUUUUUUUUUUUUUUGACAGGUGAUGCUUAUAAGAGAUCCUUUCUAUAUAAGAUUCACAAAUUAGAGAGAUCACGUGGCAUAUUAUCUAUAUGGGACUGGGUUACUUCACCCAGUGUAAUAUUUUCAACUUCUAACCACUUACCUGUGUAUUUCACAAUUUCAUUUUUCUUUGCAUUUGAAUAGAAUUCUGCUGUGUAUAAACAUAUCAUAUUCCCAUGAUCUGUUCAUUAGUUAAUGUACAUCUUGGCUAUUUCCAUCUCCUAGGUAUUAUGAACAGAGCAACAGCGAACAGCUACAAUAAAAACUUUAAAUCUUAGAAAAAGGAAGAUUGUGGAAGUCAUUAGAAGAUGUGAAGAACUUCCAUGCCCAUGGAAUAGUAGAAUUGAUGUUGUGAAAAUGACCAUCAUAUGAAAAGCAAUCUACAGAGUCAGUGCAAUCUCAGUUAAAAUCCUCACAACAUUCUUUACAGUAGUAAAUUUAAAACCCCAAAAUUCAUGUGGAACCACAAAAGACCCUGAAUAAUCAAAGCAAUUCUGAGCAAAAAGAAAAUGUUGGCUGGAUUAUCAUACCAGAUUUCAAGUUAUAUUACAGAACCAUAGAAUUUUUUUUUAAAGCAUGGUUCUGGAACAACAACAAAAAUGGACUUGUAGAUCAGUGGAACAAAACAAAAGAGCCUGUCUUAAGUGCACAUAAUUACAGCCACCUGAAAUUCAACAAAGGCAGAAAAAACAUGCACUCCAGGAAAGGCAGCAUCUCCAACAAAUCUCCAACAAAUGCUUUUGGGAAAACUGAAUGUCCACAUGUAAAAGAGUGAAAUUAGAUCAAGAUCUAUGACCCUGUACAACAAAAAGAAAGAGAGAGAAAGACGUAAAGAAAGAAAGAAAGAAAGAAAG
rnacentral:lncRNA from 1 species